rnacentral:lncRNA from 1 species
UUUUUUAUAAUUAUCAUUGCGAGAUAUGUCAUCCACCUUUCUUCUUUUGCGGGCUUCAAAACUACGAUCUACGGUGUUGCGCAGUAAACAAAAAUCUGGUAUAUUCUCAUAUUCAAGUUCAAUAAAAAAAUUCACAAUCUUACUUUUUCACAAGUAUGUUAUAUCUCAGUUCUUUGGUAAGCUCCAAGUCUACUAGCACUCUCACGAAAUGGCCAAAUGACCUCAAAACUUCUUUUACUAGUUGUCGAGUCAGUGUAGAAUAGAGUUCCAAUACUACUCGCAAUGACAAAUACUAUUCUAGAUCUCCAAUACUCAUAUGAUAACCCAUUUAUUCUAACCCAAACAUGAGAAGAGGUUUAUUU